UUCUUUCCCCCCUCAUGUUACUGCAUUGCUCAUUGCUUUCAGGUGUUUCAGGUUUAAAUGAUGUGUCAGUGAUUCUUUUAAAGUGACUAAAAGUAUUUCUGUUAUCUUAAUACAUCUUCUUUUUCCUUUGUUUACUGUCAAUGUUUAGCUAUUGAUGUCCAAAGUUGCAAUCCCGUCCCAAGGGGAAACUUCAUACAAAGUGAAAGCGUAGUUCCAAGAAAGAAGUUCUCGCUUUACUUAAAUUUACAAACUGCUGAAGAAUUUAGCAUUCCUGAAGAACCUGUUCACGAAGAACCAUCUGUCCCAGAAGAUUUUCCAGAUCCAGAAGAAGACAUUGAUUAUCCUGAUGAAUUAGAAUUACCUGUACAAGAUUUUGAAUAUCCACGUCCUGAAGAAGAAAUUUAUUUGCCAGCUGAACAAGAAAGAGAGCUUCCAGUUCCUGAAGAACACCAGGCUCAAUCCUGCACUGAUGCCACACCAACAGUUUCCUACUUAUGCACCUGUUACACCUACUACAACAAUAGAAAGUGCUGCCAGGGCUUGGGCACCAGAUUCCUUAGCAAUUAGCAAUAAUCAUCUAUAUGAUAUCAUGAGAAUGAACCACCUGGAGUGAAAAUGGUUCAGAUUCUAUUUGGACCAAGUUAAUAUUAAGAACUGGACUUCAGACGUCUUCAGUGUUUUCCAAUAAAUACAUCUUCAAUGAUUUAGAACAAGAAUUCUAAUAUUCUAUUUACGUAGAUAACCUGUGU